GCCCAACAAAGCCUUGCCUCAUGUGGGCCGUGACGGCUGUGUACACUCUGCUCGGCGUUCUCGCCGGACGCUAGUCGCGGCUCGUGGAGAUCAGCGCGUCGCGCCGUCGGCAAAGUUGCCAGGGCACCCGACCAGUGGAGGCGCAGAGCGGGCACCAGCCAACCUAGUCUGCGCAGCUGCGCGAUGGCGCCACGCGGGACCUGGCCUGCGCGGCUGCGCGUCUAUGCUGCCCCCCUGACAGCAAACUUUGUGGAUCUACCGGACUUCAGCCCGACGAGGCGACCUGGCGACACCCCGCCGCCGCUGUCCUUGUCCGCCACAUCUGAGCAUCUCUGUCAUACCGUGGACUCGAAUCCUGGGUCUGCUAUUGUGGACAGCCGCACCACUAUACUCUGCUACGGUGGUGGAUCUACACCGGCGUAGGCUCUGCACUGCUGGCACCCCGCACCCCACAGUCCCACACACAUGGCAGCCUCAAAGGCCAAGGCGGAGGCUCUGAACCAGUACGGUGCAGGUUCUCAGGAAAGCGUUUGUCCCUACUACUGCUGUAUCAAGCAAGGCUAAGGACGUGAAAUGCUUUUACAUUUGGAUAGUGACUCUUGAACAGCAAAUUAAAGCGACCUGCUACUUUCAUUUCGGUUCAGCCUUUUUAUUUUCUCUCCCUCGUGCUGUCAGCCAGUCUCUAUUUCUAAGGCCUUGUUUAGUUCA